CAAUAUUAUGAAUAAAAUUAAUAAAUAUAAUGAAAAUGGCAUCUUGAAACACUACAGAAGCAAUUUCAAAUGGAUUUUGACAAUGACUUUGUGUGAAAAACUUGAAAGCAAAACUUGUAGGUGUAACUGCCCCGUUAGGAACGGUUUGGAAUAUAAUACACAGAGUUUCAUUUUACAUCAGCAGUUUAAACCCUGGUAGCAUUAAAUGGCCUAACGAAACAAAAAUGAUAAUAGCAGCAGUAGUAGAUUCACCGAAAAAUUCCAUAGAUAGAAAGGGAAACACCAGUUUGUGUUCGCAAGGAACUUGCAACGAAAAUAAGAAAUUUAUCAGAAUUUUUGUUGGGUAUCCUGGCUCGUCACAUGAUAGCUGAGUUUUUCAAAACUAUGCACUAAACUAUCAACGCUUUGUGGAGAUUAUUAUUUAUUGGGUGACUCAGCUUAUCCUUGUUGUUCUCAACUUGUAACACUCUACCGUGAUAAUGGACAUUUAACAAGGGGGUAAAAAAAUAUCAACAUGAAAUUUAG